rnacentral:rRNA from 1 species
UACGGAGGAUGCAAGCGUUAUCCGGAAUUAUUGGGCGUAAAGCGUCCGUAGGUGGCAGUUCAAGUCUGCUGUCAAAGACCGGGGCUUAACUUCGGAAAGGCAGUGGAAACUGAACAGCUAGAGUAUGGUAGGGGCAGAGGGAAUUCCUGGUGUAGCGGUGAAAUGCGUAGAGAUCAGGAAGAACAUCGGUGGCGAAGGCGCUAUGCUGGACCAUAACUGACACUCAGGGACGAAAGCUAGGGGAGCGAAUGGG